AGAUAUUUAAUUUGUAGCAGAUUUUUUUCUCACGACAGACUUAUUUUAUGAUGACACCACAGACUUUCGUAAUUUUGACUGAUUUAUUAAAAUGUGUGGCAGAUUUAUUGUUUUAGUGGCGUCAGACUUAUAUUUUUCGAGAAAAAUCUGUCAAAGACACUUGCAAUGUGAGAUGGGAUAGAAUCAGAGGCUGAAUCCUUGUCUUGUGCCCCUGCAGUGUGACUCUGAAGUCCGGGAAUCAGAGUAGCAGGAUCGAAACUGGGCAGGGAAUCAUCAUCAGACAUCAAGUGUUCCUCUUGGUCAUUACCCUGAUUUCCUCCAUUGUUUCCUUCAUCAGGAUUGGCAGGAUCAAUGUCUUCAAAAGCCAAAGCACAUUCUUUUGCGUCAUGUUUGAGAGAACCACAUUUGGUACAGAAAUUCCUCAAUCUCUCAAAUCGGAAUUUGACGAUGGUGUUCUCAUCAGCAUUAAAUUGGACAUUCCUCUGGAACUGAUAGAAAUCAUGAGCAAAGAGAAUCUGUGAAUGCUUUUCUAUAUUUCUCUUG
rnacentral:lncRNA from 1 species